rnacentral:sRNA from 1 species
GGGCCAGACCUGCACCGGGCCAGGCAAGAUGGCGGCCAUGGAGACCGAGACGGCGCCGCUGACCCUGGAGUCGCUGCCCACCGAUCCCCUGCUCCUCAUCUUAUCCUUUUUGGACUAUCGGGACCUAAUCAACUGUUGUUAUGUCAGUCGAAGACUUAGCCAGCUAUCAAGUCAUGAUCCGCUGUGGAGAAGACAUUGCAAAAAAUACUGGCUGAUAUCUGAGGAAGAGAAAACACAGAAGAAUCAGUGUUGGAAAUCUCUCUUCAUAGAUACUUACUCUGAUGUAGGAAGAUACAUUGACCAUUAUGCUGCUAUUAAAAAGGCCUGGGAUGAUCUCAAGAAAUAUUUGGAGCCCAGGUGUCCUCGGAUGGUUUUAUCUCUGAAAGAGGGUGCUCGAGAGGAAGACCUUGAUGCUGUGGAAGCGCAGAUUGGCUGCAAGCUUCCUGACGAUUAUCGAUGUUCAUACCGAAUUCACAAUGGACAGAAGUUAGUGGUUCCUGGGUUAUUGGGAAGCAUGGCACUGUCUAAUCACUAUCGUUCUGAAGAUUUGUUAGACGUCGAUACAGCUGCCGGAGGAUUCCAGCAGAGACAGGGACUGAAAUACUGUCUCCCUUUAACUUUUUGCAUACAUACUGGUUUGAGUCAGUACAUAGCAGUGGAAGCUGCAGAGGGCCGAAACAAAAAUGAAGUUUUCUACCAAUGUCCAGACCAAAUGGCUCGAAAUCCAGCUGCUAUUGACAUGUUUAUUAUAGGUAGGAAAGAAAAAAGUCUUUUUUCCCCCUUCUUCUUCUUCCUGGAUAUAAUAAAAAAAUUAAAAUGGUAAAAACUUUUUCAGCUACUUUAGCAGCUGGCAGUUUCAUACUUGGAUGUCUUUAAGGUUUGCUGGUUUAUAAAGUACCUCAUCUAGGUUUUCAUUAGAACCGUUUUUGUAUUGAAUAUUUUUAAUUUUGAAAAAAGCCAAUCCAUAUACAAUCUCAUGCUCUGAGGACUCUUCUAUAAGGCAAUGAAAUACGUAGAAUUGCUGUGAAUGUGUAUAUAUUUUUCUUAACAUGCACAUGUAUUAUUCAUUAUAUUCAUGUAUAAUUGGAGAUACAGAUAUAUAAAGCAACUUUAAACUUUUUCUCUUUUGGUGCUAAUGCAGUAGCAUUAAGAUACUAAGUCACAUUAGAGACCUCCAAAGCAACAGUCUUUAGGGACUAAUAAUAAACUCUAUGCCUCAUAAACUCCUUGGUACAACUAGUUUUUCUUGGCCUUAAAAGAGUAUUUCUUAUAGGUUUUGAGAACCCUUCAAUUUGUAAGUAACUACAGCUCACCCCUUUGCUAUUUAUCCCAUCUUGUCUUGUUUGGAUUUUGAUCAUCCAGAGAAGAUUCCUUCAGACUGUCCAUUCUGCUUUUUAAGGGUACUGACUGACAUAUAUUAAACAUCUCCAUAUGUGAAUAGUAAAGGGUCCUUGUAGACUGAGGCAUUUAUAUUCACUUCUGUCUUCUCAUUGGAUCUUUGAACAUUGUAUGAGUCUCUAUUUGUUCUAUACUAUGGCACAUUCCACAUUCAUGGUGUACUUCACAAUAUCAAGAUCUCACCCUUACCUAGUAAGUUAUAAAAAGCUUUUAAAUGUAGGUCCUGGCUUUCAGCUCACUCUGACUCAUGUGGUCUCUGGUUUCUAAGUUAAGCACCCUCUGGAGGUUUUUCCUGUGCUCAUUGCCCUCGUUGGUAUUUUUGCAUAGCACACCCUUUCAGAGAUUACCAUAGUGGCUGUGGUCCAGCAGUGCUACUCAGUUUAUAAAUGGAAGGCAGCUGAGUGCUAAGGUAAGCUGCUGCCCAACCUCUGUGAGUUCCUUACUCUUAGUUUGGUGCUCAUCUGACAUGGUAUGUAGAACCUCACCACUCCAGCAGAAUGCUAAGGUAUAAUAAUACUAUGCCAGUAGCUGGGAUUUCUCUUAAAAUGGGACAGCAAAGCAAAAGAUUGAGAGACACUGAGAAGAGAUGAGGUGGGAAGUUAAUGCAGGGAGGAAGGACUAAAAAGGAGCUUCCUUUCAGCUGCCUUGAUAAAGCUCCAGAACCAUCAGAGAGACCCCAACACAUGGGCUCACUUUAAAAGGUGCUACUUUUACUGACUGGUUUACCUCUUAUGUCAAAAAUGUUGUAUCAGGUGGCUUCCCCAUCAUCAGAGACCAAAUUUUCAGAUAUGUUCACGAUCCAGAGUGUGUAGCAACAACUGGGGAUAUUACUGUGUCAGUUUCCACAUCGUUUCUGCCAGAACUUAGCUCUGUACAUCCACCCCACUAUUUCUUCACAUACCGAAUCAGGAUUGAAAUGUCAAAAGAUGCACUUCCUGAGAAGGCCUGUCAGUUGGACAGUCGCUAUUGGAGAAUAACAAAUGCUAAGGGUGACGUGGAAGAAGUUCAAGGACCUGGAGUAGUUGGUGAAUUUCCAAUCAUCAGCCCAGGUCGGGUAUAUGAAUACACAAGCUGUACCACAUUCUCUACAACAUCAGGAUACAUGGAAGGAUAUUAUACCUUCCAUUUUCUUUACUUUAAAGACAAGAUCUUUAAUGUUGCCAUUCCCCGAUUCCAUAUGGCAUGUCCAACAUUCAGGGUGUCUAUAGCCCGAUUGGAAAUGGGUCCUGAUGAAUAUGAAGAGAUGGAAGAAGAGGAGGAGGAGGAAGAGGAGGAAGAUGAGGAUGAUGAUUCAGCAGAUAUGGAUGAAUCAGAUGAAGAUGAUGAAGAGGAGAGACGGAGGAGAGUCUUUGAUGUUCCCAUUCGCAGACGCCGCUGCUCACGCCUUUUUUAGCAAGUCUUCUGCUGAUGGAAGCACUAGGAUGAUUCUAGGCUGUUAGAUUUCUCAAUAAUGUAAAUAACUAAAUUGUUCUCUGCAUAUAGCAGGAAAACUAGCAUGAAAUAUUGUUUCAGGCCCUGGGUUCUAUGUGACACUACAUUAGGAAUUGGAUUGUUUGGGUUUGCUUUGUAUUUUUGAGGUAGAGGAGGAAAUGGGAAUCUUUUUUUUCCUCUUCCAGGAGUCAAUGGAAGAAUAGUUCUCUAGCUAAGGAACGGACAUACCUUUGUUUUAACAUAUUUUAUACUUAACAAAAAUGUAGAAAUGGAGAGGGAACUGUUUUGAAUAAGGAUUUAAAAUACCUGCACAAGGAUAGAGAGAAACUAUGUGACUAAUUCUGUGAAAAGACUUCUUGCAGUUGUGAGUUAUUUAGAAAUGAUCAAAAUUUGUAAUUAGGCUAAUCCAUUUAAGUGAUUCCUAAUAUUUUGUACUCACAGAGAACUAAUUGACUAAACAACUUGAACACUAGUGGUUUGUCCUUAGACAAUCUGUCUUUGAAUUUAAAGUCUUUAUCGCUAAGACCUUGACUUUAAAUUUUUCAUCACUACAACCUUGAAUUUAAUUUCAGGUCUUCAACAUGAUGACCUUGGAUUUAAUUUAAAGUCUUCAACUCUAUGUGCUUUAUCAUAUUAUUCACAGAUGCAUUUUUGAAAUGUAGUAUGUAAAAGUAUGUAAUGUGCUGUUUAUUAACAAAAGAUUGUUCACAACAUCUCAUGUAGUUUAAAUUUGUAAAUACUGCUUCUGUUUUGGUUCUCCUUUAUACACUUGACUGUCUUUGUGAUAAGUGACAUGAAUUUUAUGUUAGGAUUAAGUAUGUUUUCCUGAAACUUGGAUUUAUUUUGUAAUUAUAUAAUUGAGAGUUAAGAAUGAAAUCCUUCAAGUGUUAAAAACUCACAUUUUAAAAACAAA